rnacentral:lncRNA from 1 species
AGUCGACGAUAAUACAACAAAAUGAGAUAGAGGUGCCAAUGAUGCAGUAAGUAGAGCAAUGGUGGCGGUAGUGAAUAUGAUGAUGCAAUGGUAGUAGCGAUGGUGGCAGAGGUGAUGGCUGUGAUGGCGAUGAUGUAGGAUGGUAAUGGUGGAGGCGAUAUUAGUGAUGGUAGUGAAAAAUAAGUUUCUUGUUUAUAAAAAUACUAAAAGUAAGAAUUUCUUACUUUCAAUUCUAUAAAAAAAUAAAAUAUUUUUUAAAAUAAAAAAAUAAUAUUAAAUAUGUUUUUGGUAUUAUUUUUUAUUUUUAUUUUUUAAUUAUAAACUAAGAAAACCAAUUAGAAGAUAGGCAGCUUCACCGUUCCAACACCUCCAUCAUUUGAUAGGGGCUAAUAGGAUUAUUAAAAAAAUACGAUGAUGAGCAAUCUAAUUCGAAAUCAUGCGUCUCCACGUGCUACAAUCAACUAUUUACUUAUUUAUUUUUUCCAAUAGAUUACUCAAUGGAAGCAUCCGGCAUGAGCGAUGUGAUGUCUAUCAUUACUGCAUAUUUGGAUCACAAUAACUAUUCUAUAAAUCUAUUGUAUCCAUUGUAUACAACUAAAAUAGAAGCUUUAUGACUCAAUUAGAUCAACAAGUCAAAAAAAGAUUGGGCCACAUUGUCAAUUUUUU